ACUUACAGUAACAUUUGUCACAAUGAACACUUAACACCAGAGUUCGUGACUGAAACGUAAUGUUAUGAUCACUUGUUCAGUGAGUAUUUGUUGACAACUUGUCUUGACAGUGUUCUAAUUGUGCAUUGUGCGAAUAUUCCAAAGUUU